rnacentral:rRNA from 1 species
GAACGGCCCGCGUCGGAUUAGCUAGUUGGUGAGGUAAUGGCUCACCAAGGCGACGAUCCGUAGCUGGUCUGAGAGGAUGAUCAGCCACACUGGCACUGAGACACGGGCCAGACUCCUACGGGAGGCAGCAGUGGGGAAUUUUGCGCAAUGGGCGAAAGCCUGACGCAGUAACGCCGCGUGGAGGAUGAAGGCCUUCGGGUUGUAAACUCCUGUCAGGAGGAACGACGGAGAAAGGGUGAUAAACCCUUUCCUCCAGACGGUACCUCCAAAGGAAGCCCCGGCUAAUUCCGUGCCAGCAGCCGCGGUAAUACGGAAGGGGCGAGCGUUGUUCGGAAUCAUUGGGCGUAAAGGGCGCGUAGGUGGCUCUGUAUGUCUACCGUGAAAGCGUACGGCUCAACCGUAUUUUGUCGGUAGAAACUGCAGGACUUGAGGCUGGGAGGGGCUGGUGGAAUUCCCUGUGUAGCGGUGAAAUGCGUAGAGAUGGGGGAG